UACGGGGGGGGCAAGCGUUGUUCGGAAUUACUGGGCGUAAAGGGCUCGUAGGCGGCCAACUAAGUCGGAUGUGAAAUCCCCAGGCUUAACCUGGGAACUGCAUCCGAUACUGGAUGGCUUGAAUCCGGGAGAGGGAUGCAGAACUCCAGGUGUAGCGGUGAAAUGCGUAGAUAUCUGGAGGAAUACCGGUGGCGAAGGCGGCAUCCUGGACCGGCAUUGACGCUGAUGAGCGAAAGCUAGGGGAGCAAACGGG
rnacentral:rRNA from 1 species